rnacentral:rRNA from 1 species
UACGGAGGGGGCUAGCGUUGUUCGGAAUUACUGGGCGUAAAGCGCGCGUAGGCGGACCUGCAAGUCGGGGGUGAAAGCCCGAGGCUCAACCUCGGAACUGCCUUCGAUACUGCCGGGCUAGAGUCCGGAAGAGGCGAGUGGAACUCCUGGUGUAGCGGUGGAAUGCGCAGAUAUCAGGAAGAACACCGACGGCGAAGGCAGCUCGCUGGGACGGUACUGACGCUGAGGCGCGAAAGCGUGGGGAGCGAACAGG